AGGCCGCAAGUGAGAAUGGGAGGAAAGAGGAGAAAAACGUUAAAGUUUCUUCUUGAUUCUUGAUUGUGAGUGGAUCUUGGAGCUAGAGGCGGAUAGCAAGCUUGUGCAACACUUGGGUCUUCACAUCCUUUUCUUCAGUACUAUUUUCAUAAUCUUCUUCAUAUUUUUUUUGGAAGCUUUUUGAGCAAAGGUUAGUAUUGGCCUCAAGCUUUGAGUUGAUGGGCUUGGAAGUAUAUUAUUAAGUUCAAAUGUUUAUUCAUAUCGUUUAUCAUGUUUUGAAUGAUAAAAAUUUUAAGGGCAUAAGUGGAACAAUAAAAAUUUCAUAUUUCAGGAACGCUUUGACUCAUCGUAUAUGCCUACUUUUUUUUGUUCAAGCUAAACAACUUAUAUGGAAAGACAGUUCAAUCCCAGUGAAGAAGCUACAUUCUACUGGUCAAAGCUUAUCGUCUUACUCAAAAUGACCAAUGAUAGGAAAUGGAAGAAAAUUGUUUGAGGAAAGAAGAUCUUCUGAAGCAAAAGGAACGUCUGAAGAAAGAAGAGUUUCAAACAAAGCAAGUUGCAGUGUUUGAAGAAUGAGCCUCACCUUCAAAUUAGAAAAAUAUCUCAAACAAACUUGGAGAAGAAGUCUUGAUAGAAGAUCAUGUGAACUGACAAAGCACAAUGACCAAAGCUGAAGUACAACGUUGUCACUACAAAGUUGUCGUAUUUUCUUAUCAACGGAUAGAAGCAAAGACCAAUGCUACCUACCAGCUGUCAGACUACAUCUUUUCAGAAAAAAGUCUUCAUCAAACAGUGUCAUGCAUUUAAUGCAUCUGACAAAAGCAUUGUUUGAUCCAACAGCUAGAAUCUCUGCGAAGUACAAGCUCCAACAUCUAUUAUCUCUCUCUCACAGAAGAUCAUGAAGUAUAAAAGCAAGACUUGAAGAUGUGAUUAUGUAUGACUCUGCUAUGAACUAUGUGAUAGUGAAUAUGAUAGUAGGAUUGCCAAUGAUUAUAUAUGCUAGAGAUAAUAUAUGAUUGCUGAUGUAAUAAACUAGUAUGCUCACCUGUGCGUUGCACAACUUAAAGUUUUCUUGACAACUGAUUUUUUUUAGGCUAAAAAGCACUUUUGGCCCCUUAUGUUUUAAGUUUGUGCAAAUUUUGC
rnacentral:lncRNA from 1 species